CUUAAGCAUAUCAAUAAGCGGAGGAAAAGAAACCAACAGGGAUUACCUCAGUAACGGCGAGUGAAGCGGUAACAGCUCAAAUUUGAAAUCUGGCCCUUUCAGGGUCCGAGUUGUAAUUUGUAGAAGAUGCUUUGGGUGUGGCACCGGUCUAAGUUCCUUGGAACAGGACGUCAUAGAGGGUGAGAAUCCCGUAUGUGACUGGCUGCCUUCGCCCGUGUAAAGCUCUUUCGACGAGUCGAGUUGUUUGGGAAUGCAGCUCAAAAUGGGUGGUAAAUUUCAUCUAAAGCUAAAUAUUGGCCAGAGACCGAUAGCGCACAAGUAGAGUGAUCGAAAGAUGAAAAGCACUUUGGAAAGAGAGUUAAACAGUACGUGAAAUUGUUGAAAGGGAAGCGCUUGCAACCAGACUCGCGCGCCGUUGAUCAUCCGGUGUUCUCACCGGUGCACUCGGCGGCGCUCGGGCCAGCAUCAGUUUGGGUGGUGGGAUAAAGGCCUUGGGAAUGUGGCUCUCUUCGGGGAGUGUUAUAGCCCUCGGUGCAAUGCCGCCUACCUGGACUGAGGACCGCGCUUCGGCUAGGAUGCUGGCGUAAUGGUUGUAAGCGACCCGUCUUGAAACACGGACCAAGGAGUCUAACAUCUAUGCGAGUGUUUGGGUGUCAAACCCAUACGCGUAAUGAAAGUGAACGGAGGUGAGAACCCUUAAGGGUGCAUCAUCGACCGAUCCUGAUGUCUUCGGAUGGAUUUGAGUAAGAGCAUAGCUGUUGGGACCCGAAAGAUGGUGAACUAUGCCUAAAUAGGGUGAAGCCAGAGGAAACUCUGGUGGAGGCUCGCAGCGGUUCUGACGUGCAAAUCGAUCGUCAAAUUUGGGUAUAGGGGCGAAAGACUAAUCGAACCAUCUAGUAGCUGGUUCCUGCCGAAGUU
rnacentral:rRNA from 1 species